GUUAACGUUGUAAUUGAGCAGAGUUUUUUACUGAAGUCUCUGAGAAUAAAGACAUAGGUGUAGAUUACUGUGUAAAAGCUAAAAGGUUUGUGUUUCUUUCAGCCAGCAAUUCUCAAAACCCUAAUUUCAAUGGCUAAAGAGUUCAAGGUUCCGCCGGUGGCCUUCCCACAGGCCGGGAAUCCCACCGCAGGAGGUCCAAACAUCCAGCAGCGACGCAUGGCUGCGCCGCCCUUCCAGCCAAACUCCGGCAUCCCCUUCAUGUCCUUUGACAUAGGCUCCGCCGCAGCGUCCACCUCAUCUGGCCCAAUCUACUCCGGACCCGGCACCGUGGGCGGCUCCGCCAACUUCGACGACGAGGAACCACUCCUCGAUGAGCUCGGGAUCCACCCUGAACAAAUCUGGAGCAAGAUCCGAUCCGUUCUGAACCCGUUCCGCGUGAACCACACCGUCCACAAGGAUUCCGAUCUAUCCGGACCGAUCCUUCUCUACAUGUCGUUUUGCCUCUUCCAGUUACUCGCCGGGAAAAUCCAAUUCGGCGUGAUUCUUGGCUGGAUCGUGGUCUCUUCGAUCUUCUUGUACGUCGUUUUUAACAUGCUUGCCGGUCGAGCCGGUAACUUGGACCUUCACACGUGCACCAGCGUGGUUGGUUACUGCAUGUUGCCGGUGGUGAUCUACUCGGCCAUGUCGCUAUUCCUGCCUCAGGGAGGGAUCGUGGCGAUUGUUACCGCUUCGGUUUUCGUGCUGUGGGCGACCAGGGCUUCGACGGGUCUCAUCGUUUUGCUUGCGGAUGGCGGCGAGGAACACCGUGGCUUGAUAGCUUUCCAAAAUGUUCCCCAUCCCUUAUAAGCAUUUUUUCAAAGAGAAGAGACAUUUGGCUCUGAGGGUUCUUGCCUCCUUCUACCGACGCCGCACCACACUUUCAGAUCACUCUGCGCUGAUGCUGGUUCUCUGCUCCUUGCCCUGCGCUGUUGCUCGUUCUCUGCUCUCACCAUGAGCCAUCGCUAAUACUCUGCUCCUCGCUGUAUCUCGCCUCGCUGCUGGGUGGUCUUGCCUUGUCCACUGUUGUGCUUGCAAUUGGAGUGGCGUAUACCUUGCUCCAACAUGGUUUGCAUCAGAGGUAACAACUACUUGGUGUUGAAAUUGUCCAUGUCCUGAUUGGCCCAGUUUCAUACUUGUUUCUCUCCAAGCCUGCCCAAGGGUGCUGAGAAGACCUUCUCUCUCUUCUCACUUCUCCCCAAGGUCCUCGCAGGCUAUAAGUAAGAACUUUAACUUUUGUAUUGUGACUAUUGCUCUUUUUUUGUGAUUAUAUGUGUCAUAUCUCUAACUUACUCAUAUUUGUAAAAUCAGCAAAGUCAUAUUUUCUAGUGUAGUUGUAUUUGUAAACUGAUUCUGCUUUGCUCAUUUUCUUUUAAUUGUGGAUAAUGAGAUCAGAAAAUGCAUUGAAUAUUUGAACGUGAUGAAUCUUUUUUUAGCUUGCUAAAAAUCUGUCAGAACUCACAAUGUUUUUGGUUGAAGUUUGAUUUGUGUUUCAUAGUUUUUGAGAUGAGUCUCUUCCUUUCUAAUCUGGUUGUUGGUGAUUAAAGUAUGUUCAAAGUUGAAAGAAAUGUUAAGCAAUUUGCCCUGAAAUUCAGACACAGUUAAUGAUAGGAUGUAAUGUCACUAUUUAAGUAGAUAUAAUUUUAGUAGUAUUGAAUAACUUUUUGUGAGCUGAUUAUUGAUUAAAGAAAAAUUAGUUUUUAUAGUUAAACAGGUUAUUUGUGGUUUAGUAAGUGAAUUUAGUUUACUGUGCAUGCUUGUGAUUUUUAUUGUAGAUAGCUGAUUGCUCUAUUGUAAGUGCCACUCUUUGAUUUCCUCGUGUAGAGUUAGAACCGUGCAGUAAGGCUCCGUUUGGUUGAUGUAUUUGAUGAGACAUAGACACAGAGACACAGACAUUAAAGACAUGGACAUAAAAUAUUUGUGUCUAUGUAUUGUGUUUGGCAAAAAUAAGAAAUAAGACACAUAUAUUUAAAAAAGACUAAAUUACCCUUCAUUCAACCACAAGUUUUACCACUAUUACAAUACAUCUAUUAUCCCAAACAAUGCAUGCCAUCACCAUUAAAUUUUUAUUUCUUCUAAUAAUUUUUUAUUUCUUCUAAUACCAUCUUAAAUUAUCAUUUAAAUAUUAAAUAUAUA